UAGGGAAUCUUCCACAAUGGACGCAAGUCUGAUGGAGCAACGCCGCGUGAGUGAAGAAGGCUUUCGGGUCGUAAAACUCUGUUAUUGAAGAAGAACGUGUGUGACAGUAACUGGUCAUGCAGUGACGGUAUUCAAUCAGAAAGUCACGGCUAACUACGUGCCAGCAGCCGCGGUAAUACGUAGGUGGCAAGCGUUGUCCGGAUUUAUUGGGCGUAAAGCGAGUGCAGGCGGUCUUUUAAGUCUGAUGUGAAAGCCUUCGGCUUAACCGAAGAAGGGCAUCGGAAACUGGGAGACUUGAGUGCAGAAGAGGAGAGUGGAACUCCAUGUGUAGCGGUGAAAUGCGUAGAUAUAUGGAAGAACACCAGUGGCGAAGGCGGCUCUCUGGUCUGUAACUGACGCUGAGGCUCGAAAGCGUGGGUAGCAAACAGGAUUAGAUACCCUGGUAGUCCACGCCGUAACGAUGAAUACUAAGUGUUGGA
rnacentral:rRNA from 1 species